rnacentral:rRNA from 1 species
AAUGAACGCUGGCGGCAGGCCUAACACAUGCAAGUCGAGCGAGAGGCGGACGGGUGAGUAAUGUAUGGGGACUGCCCGAUAGAGGGGGAUAACUACUGGAAACGGUGGCUAAUAACGCAUACUAUCGGAUAAGCGAUAUUGGAUUAGCUAGUAGGUGGGGAAAAGGCUCACCUAGGCGACGGUCACUAGCUGGUCUGAGAGGAUGAUAAGCAACACUGGGACUGAGACACGGCCCAGACUCCAACGGCGGCAGCAGUGGGGAAUAUUGCACAAUGGACGCAAGCCUGAUGCAGCCAUGCCGCGGGUAUGAAGAAGGCCUUAGGGUUUUAAAGUACUUUCGGCGGGGAGGCGUUACCCGAAGAAAAAGCAACGGCUAACUCCGUGCCAGCAGCCGCGGUAAUAC